AACGAACGCUGGCGGCGUGCCUAAUACAUGCAAGUCGAACGCUUCUUUUCCCACCGGAGCUUGCUCCACCGGGAAAAGAGGAGUGGCGAACGGGUGAGUAACACGUGGGUAACCUGCCCAUCAGAAGGGGAUAACACUUGGAAACAGGUGCUAAUACCGUAUAACAAUCGAAACCGCAUGGUUUCGUUUUGAAAGGCGCUUUACGGUGCCGCGGAUGGAUGGACCCGCGGUGCAUUAGCUAGUUGGUGAGGUAACGGCUCACCAAGGCCACGAUGCAUAGCCGACCGGAGAGGGGGAUCGGCCACAUUGGGACUGAGACACGGCCCAAACUCCUACGGGAGGCAGCAGUAGGGAAUCUUCGGCAAUGGACGAAAGUCUGACCGAGCAACGCCGCGUGAGUGAAGAAGGUCUUCGGAUCGUAAAACUCUGUUGUUAGAGAAGAACGAGGGUGAGAGUAACUGUUCACCCCUUGACGGUAUCUAACCAGAAAGCCACGGCUAACUACGUGCCAGCAGCCGCCGCCG
rnacentral:rRNA from 1 species